AUAACAAUGGCAAUGAUAGCUAAUGCUAAUGCUAAUUCUCUAUGUUCUUUGUAGACAGAGUCCUGAUGUCGUCAUAUGGCAACACAUCCAGAAACAGCUGGUGGAUCCCAACACUCUCCCCAACAGACAGUCAGAGGAAAUACCUUAUAUGGAAGUGAGGUAAAGAUAGAGUGAGGGAAAGAGGGAAAGAGGAAGAGAAAGAAGGAGGUAAUUAUGGAACCUUGUGUCUUACAGAGUGUCAGGAGAACCAAUCAGAGUGCGUCAUUCUCCAAGGAGGCGGCGACAUCGUCGCUGUACAUCAGCGUCAGACUUCCUUUCAAAGACGGAGCUGGUUCCGCCUCUUCCUGUCACCAAGACAACGGGCACUCUCUGCCAAUUACCCAUAAGUCCCUGAGGCUGCGGCCAAUUUGUUUUCCAAGAACAGUUCAUCUAUUUGUCUCCAUAUAAAAUAUGUAAUAUGCUUCUGUAACAUGAAGGUUUUUAUUGUCAUCUUCUC